AUCAACUUUCGAUGGUAGGAUAGAGGCCUACCAUGGUGGUAACGGGUAACGGGGUGUUAGGGCACGACACCGGAGAGGGAGCCUGAGAAACGGCUACCACAUCCAAGGAUGGCAGCAGGCGCGCAAAUUACCCAAUCCCGACACGGGGAGGUAGUGACAAUAAAUAACAAUACGGGGUUCUUUCGGAUUUCGUAAUUGGAAUGAGUACAAUUUAAAUCUCUUAACGAGGAACAAUUGGAGGGCAAGUCUGGUGCCAGCAGCCGCGGUAAUUCCAGCUCCAAUAGCGUAUAUUAAAGUUGUUGCAGUUAAAAAGCUCGUAGUUGAAUUUCGGGGUCAGCAGGUUGGUCGUGCCAAUGGUAUGCACUGGCCUUGCUGAUUCCUCCCUCUUGAUGAGCCGUAAUGCCAUUAAUUUGGUGUUGCGGGGAAUCAGGACUGUUACUUUGAAAAAAUUAGAGUGUUUAAAGCAGGCAAGCGCUUGAAUACAUUAGCAUGGAAUAAUGAAAUAGGACGUUUAAUCCUAUUUUGUUGGUUUCUAGGAUUGACGUAAUGAUUAAUAGGGAUAGUUGGGGGCAUUAGUAUUCAAUUGUCAGAGGUGAAAUUCUUGGAUUUAUUGAAGACUAACUACUGCGAAAGCAUUUGCCAAGGAUGUUUUCAUUAAUCAAGAACGAAAGUUAGGGGAUCGAAGACGAUCAGAUACCGUCGUAGUCUUAACCAUAAACUAUGCCGACUAGGGAUCGGAUGAUGUUAAUUUUUUAAUGACUCAUUCGGCGCCUUACGGGAAACCAAAGUGUUUGGGUUC
rnacentral:rRNA from 1 species